UCCGGAAUAGCUCAAUGGUAGAGCAGGUGGCUGUUAACCACUUGGUUGGGGGUUCGAAUCCCUCUUCCGGAGCCA
rnacentral:tRNA from 4 species